GAACGCUAGCGGCAUGCCUAACACAUGCAAGUCGAACGGCAGCGGGGGGAGCUUGCUCCCUGACGGCGAGUGGCGGACGGGUGAGUAACACGUAGGAAUCUACCUUAAUUAUAAUAGUUAGUGGGGGAUAACCCGGGGAAACUCGGGCUAAUACCGCAUAAUCUCUUCAAAGCAAAGCGGGGGAUCUUCGGACCUCGUGCUAUGAGAUGAGCCUGCGUCGGAUUAGCUAGUUGGUAGGGUAAUGGCCUACCAAGGCGACGAUCCGUAGCUGGUCUGAGAGGACGAUCAGCCACACUGGGACUGAGACACGGCC
rnacentral:rRNA from 1 species